UUCCCUUUACUUCUCUCGAAAUCCUACAUCAACGAAAUCUUAACUCUUUGAUUUGACCACCAAAACUACCUCGAAUCGCUUCGGGCUCUACACGAAAGUUGUAGAUCUCGUCGAGAUCUUUCAAUCCCGACUAAUCUCAUCUCUUUUCAUCCACCAUACACGGAUAAUUUCGCAUCGCAAGGUGUCAGACCUGACAAAGGGAAUCUUCAAUUAGUUCGUGCUCGUUCCACGAAAUCCAAAUUCCUUUGAUCUAUUUCGAGUCAAUCGGAGCCAAAUCGUGUUUCAAAACGAUCUCGAAUCGUCAUAACCUCAACACGGAAGUUGUUCUCUCGUCAAGAUCUUUCAAUUGCCACAAGUUUCACCUUGUUUCGUUCACCGAGCAAGGAGAAAAUCGUGUUGCAAGAUUCAGAUCUUAUAAGUUCCUACGGAGAGGCACGUAUUUUGAUUAAGAGAAGUGAACGCGCUUCGACUACCAAAAAGGCAAGUGACACUCAAAUCCUACCUAUUUUAUAAUUAUGCAUUAGUGUUUUCAAUUAGUAUGCAUGGUAGGGAUUUUGUUUUCAAAAGAAAAGUAUUAUGCUAUGCUUAGAUCCUAGUAGUGUGUAGCCACCCUUUAAACACAAACUUCUAGGAUUGUCAGAAGUGAUUUAAAAAUGAUGCCAAUGCUUGGUUUUACUUGUUGGUUAAAGUGUUGUUUGGAAAAAAUUAAAGUUAAUAACCUUAAUGAAACACCUGGGUGGAAUUGGUGUGGCUUUGGAUUAUGUUGAGUGGCUACCUGGGGCUACAUACCUGGCAGUGAAAACC